GAGGAAUAUUGGUCAAUGGACGGAAGUCUGAACCAGCCAAGUAGCGUGCAGGAAGACGGCCCUAUGGGUUGUAAACUGCUUUUAUACGAGAAUAAUUUGAUGCACGUGUGCGUUAUUGCAUGUAUCGUAUGAAUAAGGACCGGCUAAUUCCGUGCCAGCAGCCGCGGUAAUACGGAAGGUCCAGGCGUUAUCCGGAUUUAUUGGGUUUAAAGGGAGCGUAGGCCGUGGAUUAAGCGUGUUGUGAAAUGCAGACGCUCAACGUCUGAAUUGCAGCGCGAACUGGUUCACUUGAGUAUGCACAACGUAGGCGGAAUUCGUCGUGUAGCGGUGAAAUGCUUAGAUAUGACGAAGAACUCCGAUUGCGAAGGCAGCUGACGGGAGCGCAACUGACGCUUAAGCUCGAAGGUGCGGGUAUCAAACAGGAUUAGAUACCCUGGUAGUCCGCACAGUAAACGAUGGAUGCCCGCUGUCGGUACCUGGUAUCAGCGGCUAAGCGAAAGCAUUAAGCAUCCCACCUGGGGAGUACGCUGGCAACGGUG
rnacentral:rRNA from 1 species